rnacentral:tRNA from 1 species
ACCGGGAUAGCUCAGUUGGUAGAGCAGAGGACUGAAAAUCCUCGUGUUACCAGUUCAAAUCUGGUUCCUGGCA